GCGCACGGGUGAGUAACGCGUAGAUAAUCUGCCUUGGACUCUGGGAUAACAUCUCGAAAGGGGUGCUAAUACCGGAUAAGCCCACGAUGGCGUAAGUCAUUGCGGGAAAAGGGGGCCUCUGAAUAUGCUCCUGAUUCAAGAUGAGUCUGCGUACCAUUAGCUAGUUGGUAGGGUAAGAGCCUACCAAGGCGACGAUGGUUAGCUGGUCUGAGAGGAUGAUCAGCCACACUGGAACUGAGACACGGUCCAGACUCCUACGGGAGGCAGCAGUGGGGAAUUUUGCGCAAUGGGGGAAACCCUGACGCAGCAACGCCGCGUGAGUGAUGAAGGCUUUCGGGUCGUAAAGCUCUGUCUAGAGGGAAGAAAUGAUAGUCGGUUAAUACCCGGUUUUCUUGACGGUACCUCUGAAGGAAGCACCGGCUAACUCCGUGCCAGCAGCCGCGGUAAUACGGAGGGUGCAAGCGUUGUUCGGAUUUAUUGGGCGUAAAGCGCGUGUAGGCGGUUUGUUAAGUCUGAUGUGAAAGCCCUGGGCUCAACCUGGGAAGUGCAUUGGAAACUGGCAGACUUGAAUACGGGAGAGGGUAGUGGAAUUCCUAGUGUAGGAGUGAAAUCCGUAGAUAUUAGGAGGAACA
rnacentral:rRNA from 1 species